rnacentral:lncRNA from 1 species
GGGGGGUUGAAACUCGGUGAUCAUUGUGGUCUUUUUCAACCCAGGCCAUUCUAUGAUUCUAUAACUUUAAACAAUUAUUUUCAUGUAGAUGUUACAGAUUUUUUGACUCAUUGCCAGCAGACUAGAUUUUUUACACUGGUACUAUGUUAAGGUCCCUGACCUUAACUUUACUGAAGGAAAAUCUAAAAACUUAAGAUGCCUUCACUAGUGCCAGUUUGCUCAUGACAGAUACAAGAACAGCCUUUAACACUUUAUCUGGAAGAAUGAUGCAGAGCAUAAAUUAAUGGAAAGAAAGAACAGAAAGGAAACUAAACAGAUGUAUGGGGAUUGCUAGGUCAUGGCCUGAACCAGUGAUUGAGCACCAGGUGAGAAGGCGUGGCUAACCCAGGGCACACAGCUGUAAGCAAUGCACCCAGGGUCCACCUCUCCUUACUCUCAUUUAAGUGUUAGCAGCAGCAGAAGCAAGAUCUGUAUGCAGAGCUCUUCCCUUCUAGGAACUUGGCUGACCUUCAGAAAGGGUAAGUUGCUUCUACGUGUGUUGUCUUCUGAACUGUAUCUUGAUGAAUACCUUUAUGAGCAUGUUUGUACCUUGAUAGAAACAAUAUCAUUGCCUUCCUUUGCUCCUUAAAGCUACAUCCUCAUCAUUUGUAAAAGAGAGGGUUUACAUCAGACCUUGCAUAUCAAGCAUCUUUGUUAGCAGGAUUCAAUAGAUAUGGUCUGCUGUUGAACUAGCCCUCAGCAAUUAUAUAUGUUGUCAGUAGCUUUGUACGCUGCUUUGGCAUAUGUCUUGUGUAUGUUUCUGGUUUUUCUUCUAUGUGUACUAACUGUUUACCAUAAGCAAAUAUUUGAUAUUAGGGAACCUAAAACUUGGCUGCAUAUUCUUAGGAUGCAGAUUUGUGAGUCAGCCACUAAAACCUGCUAAACCCUCCUAGAAUAUACUCUCUAACUCAAAAAAGGCAGUCAUGUGGCAAAGCUGCUGAGAAUGACUUGAAGCUUAAAAAAUGAGGAAGCGUUCACAUGACCUCUUUCAGGAGGAGAAGUUUGAGGUAGUAGCCUGUGUGGGUGGGAGAUAGGCUGCUGCUAGUCUAAAACUGCCAUCUUUCAGCCUCUGUUGAACCUAACACACAUAAAAAGCCUUUCCCUUGUUGUAAAACAUUUUUACCUGAAUUUGCUGCUCACGUUUCUCAGACUGAGGAAUCAGCAUCAGGCAUCCCAAGGCAAAAGCUGGAAGGUCCAACUGUGCAUACUGUUUAGCUAUUCCAAUGACAUCCAAAUCAGCCAGUACAGGACACCUGCAGUAGAAGAUGAGGAAGGAAGUUCUCAACCAUGCUAUGUAUAAACAGAUGGUUCAGUAUUAUCAGCAAAACCACUUUGAGAAUUUUGAGCCAGAUAAAACACUUACUUGAGCAGAAUCACAAAACACUCACAGCAUUCCUCUAUCUGUUUAGGACUUGGUGGACACGAAGCUAAGAGAUAAAGAAGCCACGAUAAAGUAAAUUAUUUAAGUUACUAUACAAGCAUGAUAGCUAAUAAUCCUACCUGUGAGAAAUGGUGAUAAAACCACACUUCGCCAAGCUCGACUGAAGCUGGGAAUCUAUAGACAGCAAAAUUCUAAAAUUACAAUGUUGCUUAAUUAUUAUACUUGUGAACACAGACAUCUUGACCCAUUGCAGGUGGAAGGAACUGAUGAAUUUUCUUUUUAUACUGGAUGAACUAUUCCUUAACAUUGCUUUCCUCACCUUGUAGUCUAAGAUCUUGCUAUAUUUUGACUGAUAGUUAAGUUAUUCUGUCUAACUUUAAAAACCCUCAGAAUAAGUGUUCACUGACCAUAGCACAAAAUACACUAUGUUAAUCAGUAAUUAAUAACUGUACUCAUCUACAUGUUGCAGUGUCAUAAAAUAAUAACUGAAAAGGCAUCUUUUCAUGCACAACACCCCUUUUGGUAGAUGGCUAUCAUUCACUUACAUGUACAAAUGAAGUUAAAUGCCUGCUAAGGGAAGAAGAGUAGGAGCCACAGAAUAUUUGCUUACCUGCCAUAAUGAAUGAAUCCCAGUAAUCGCUAUCAGAACUUUCCUAAGAUAAUGAAUCUGAAACAAAAAUAAUCCAUUAUAAAGUGCUACAGUGUUUUUGAAGAUUUGUCAGUAAUGCAUAUUAUUGUACAUACACAAUGCAUAUUGCAUUGUAAAAUUAUAAUGAUAUGAAAAGGAAGUUAUCAUCGUAGAACUUAUUCUUGCCAUCUGAAAGGCCUUCUGCCUUCCAAAAACAAAACGAAAAACCAAACAAACCCACAUUGAACCAAACAAAAAACCCAGAACAACUUAAGAUCAAAGUACUGUAAAAAGACAAAUUUCUCAAAGCUUCGUUGCUCUAGUGCCAAACCUCAGUUCUACAUUAUAGAUACAUAAAUUGUAAACUCGCUGUGAGUAACUAUCACGUUCCUUAGAAAUCAGUGGCUUAAAAAAAGACUUUUUCUCACCUCACUGCAGAACUUCAUGCUUAAAAAUUCCUUACCAUAUUGAAACCAAGAAGUUUCUGUAGUAGGCCAUUCCACAGCUGGAAAUCGUAUACUUUAUAUUCUAGGCUAAGUUCAGUCACCAGCCUGACAGCCUAAAGGAGAGCAAGGACACAGUGUGUUGUAAUAAGUACUCACUUCCAUGAUCUUCAAAGCUUUCCUGUUUUCCAGUGUAAUUUUAGAUUCUGCUGGCAUUAUAGGGACCUUUAACUGCUGAAAGAUUUCAAUCAAGCCAUGCUGAAAACUAUUUUAUGUAUAUGAAGAGAAUUAAAUAAGAACAGCAACAACUUAAAAAGUACAUGACAAAAAAACACAUAUAUAUCAAGUAUAGAUGUACUAUCAUCUACCUGGAAAUCUCAUUUACCUGCUCUUCUUAAGUUGCAAAGGAUUUAAAAAGCAUACCGUGGGUUCAUGGCUGUGAUUCUUCCAUAGCCCCUUAAUCAUUCCUUCCUUAGGACUCUUAUGAAAUGAUUCGUAGGUAUAUGGAAUAUUCAAGACUUCAAACUCCGCCAGAUAAAUGAAGCAUUUUAGAAAAUACCUGUAAAAAAAACACACAAAAAAAAACCCCAAGCUAAUGAUAAAUAUCACUUUCCAGUAGAAGCCCGUAACUCCAAAUUGCCAACAUGAAACCUCUAUUCUAGAUAUUUUCUAUGGAAGUUAGAUGUAUAUAUAUUUUUCAAAGAAAUAACGUUCUUGUGGGAUUUUGGUCUAACUUUGCAUAGAACUGUCUUUGCAAGAUGACCAAUUUUGAAUUUUAAAAGGAUAGUUUCAUUUCAAAAUGAGCUAUUCAAGAGCAGAAUCUGAACAGAGUCCUAAAUAUGUAAAGAAAAUAUUUAAAUUGCCACAGGAAUAACUGCAGUUUAUGAAAAUGGAACAAAAUAUUUUCUACACAACAUCAGGUUUACAAAUUAGGCAUCUGAUAUACUGGACUGCAUUAUAGUGAGGUUUAAAUACAUAAUCAUGCUCUUCAACAAUACGCUUUAAAAGCUCAAAGAAAAAGAAAAAACAGAUUCUUCAAAUAUAUAAUAUUUCUUUCCAAAGUCUGCCAGAGACUAAUAAUACACUGUUAUUAAGGAAGACCUAAAGGAAAAUUCAUCUUACUUUACUUUCUGAAUGGGUUUCUUGAAGAGUGAUUCCACAGUGUUGGUAUCUGCCAAGUAGAGCAGACACUUAAGUGCUCUGCUCCUGUGAGCAAAUGUCAGCUGAUUAAUGCCAAUGGGCUGGGGGGUGCAAAAAACAAGAGUGAGAAGUAGACGUUAACAAUGAGUGGAUGAACAACAAGAAAGCAGCUGGUGGUGUGGGAUUUUUCUAAGAUUUCUGGCAGAAACGUGGUUAGCAGAAAUGCGUGCUAAGUAACAGAUACGUUAUAUGUUCACAUUCAGCAUUUAUACUGCCUAGCUAAGAUAGAUUGUCACCUUCCAAGAACUGCAAAACCAGUUCUCUUCUAGAUGUAAGGCCAUUAAUGCGGGCAAGAAAAAAUAUUUGUGAUUUAUAGUAUUGCAAAUAUCUUUAAGGAUAAAAGGUUAAAUUUGUGCUAGAAUAAUUUUCCCUCUGUUUAAAUUCCACCCAACGUGAGCUAAAAUAUUAUUAUAUUGGUUUCAAGUGCAUUCUAGAAAAUGUUUAAUGAAGGUGUAUUCAGAUAACUUUAGCAAUAAAUUUAGAAAACCCAGAGUUCAGGGGCUGUUCUUGGCAGUCAGUAGCAACAUUCAGGGAACACCACAGCUUUGCUCCAGAGGCAGCAUACUGAGGUAGGGAAUCAGAGCUCACACAUCAUCCACAGCUUUCAGGAUGAACCAAUGCAGUUUGGCAGGUGACACUUGAUUUUAAUUACAGAUAAAAAUCUAAUAUGUAGUAAGUGAAAACUAGAAUUUAAAAACUUACAGAUGUGGCAGAUGUUGUAAUUGCAAAAAGCAUUCUUGAGCUAUAAUCCAUUGGGUGUGACUGAAGUAGAUAUAUAACUCUGCAAAAAUGAAUGUUUUUAACACAAGCACAGCAUAGCUACAGAUAGACAAUGAAUCAUUUUUCAUUCAAAUUUAAAUAUAUCUCACUGUCAAAAAGAGUUUGAGGAUAAGAGAUCCCAAGGAACAUGAGAAGAAAACCUCCAAAUAACUCUUACAACUACUCUUAAAAUAACUGUAUGUGUAAGUUACUGCAAAGCAAGUUUAAUUACAGAAUCAGUACUGAGAUCACCAGAGAACAAAAAGACACAAAUGACAUUACCUUCCAGAGAACAAAAGAUAUUACACCUCUUGUAACACCUGGAAGUAAUUGUUUUUCAGUCUGCCUUAAAAAGUAGCUCUUGCACUAACAAAGUAGCAGAACUGGAAGUGUUUGGGGGUAGCUACACCUCCUCUGCAGCUCUGUGCCUUAUUAUUUACUCACUAAUAAACAAAAUUCCAUUUAUAUAGUAGGAAAAAGCACUUGCAUUUUGGAAUGUCAGUAUUUCUGCCCUAAAUUUGUUUAAUCGCCAUUGCUAAUAAGAAUUCCAUCUUUCCAGAGGCUGCAGAAUAAAUUCUGAAUCACAUGCAAUGUUAGGUUUCUUUGAAAAAGCCACAUAACUUGCAAGUUAAGAAUAAUUCACUGUUACAUACAAAACAAAGUCUGUACCUUCGGAGUUCUUCAUCUUCCUGUGCAUCUGCAAAGAUUUCUUGAGUUUUCUUUAAAAAGACAUUAGAAAAUAGUUUUGAGAAUUAUCUGAAUUGUGAACUGUUAGGAUAAAUAGCUGGGUUAUCCUUUUAUGACGGGGUUUAAGCAAGCUGGGCACCCCUGCUAAUGCACCAAUUGGAGGAAUUUUGAUUUUAUCAUUUCUUUAUUUAUGUAACAGCGUGCUUGGCAGUCAACACCAUUCUUCUCUCUCUCCCCCUUCUAACUGGCAUUUUGAAGCAAUGUUUGUCCCCUGCUCUUCUCACAAAGUUGUAUGUUGCAUAGGCAGCAAUUAACUCUCUAUUUGCGAGUUGAAAUGGGAUAGGAUUCUUUGUCUCAGUGACUAAAAAAGUCCUUCACUUUUUUUGACUGGUGGCACAACAUUAGCGUAGCAUCGAAAAUGAGAUUUUAAUCUCUAGACUGACAAAAGAAAAAGCAUUUCAAUUGGUUCUCACAAGAGAGGGUCACUUGCAACAAUAGAAAAUUGGUAUUAAAAUUGUUAGAAUUCUGAAUGCAGAUGCAGCUUAAAUAGAUUAAUGUGUACUAAGGGUGAAUCAUUCAACAAACUAAGGUUUUUGCACAAGUGAAUAAACAGAUAUUUUAUAUAACUAGACAUUUAUCUUCAAAACCAAAUCUUCAGUGAUGACUUACUUCUGAGGGCAGUGUAUUUGGACACAGCCACUUAUUCAGCAGUUGAUUCAAAAUUUUGUUCAUAUCCAAGUUGUUAAUUUCAGCAAUCUCCUUAGCUGCCAUAUGGAUAUCUGCAUAAGCAGAGACAAUACGUUAACAGACUAGCACGACUUUGUCUAGUGUUCUUUAUAAACAACAAUUAUUUGCACCUUUUGAAACUAGAUUAUGCACAUACUUACCUGGAUAGUCUCGACCUGUCGGAUUUUGGAUUCUUUGGUCUAUGCUGUGGUGUUCAUAUAGUAAAACAAUAAGGUUUGCUGGUUUUGCAAUAGACUUCAGAUACUCUGCAGUGUUCAGCUUGUAGGUUAUUAGAACAUUUUCUGUUGCUGAUCGCUUAUACUGCAUAUAUAACUUCUUCUGUAAGACUUCUGCUUUCUCGUGUGAUUCGUCCUUUAGGAAGACAUGAUAGUUUUAUUUAAAACAAUCUUUUUUUAAUUGCUUCUCAGCAACUCUACACAGAGCUUGAUAUUUAUAAGCAAGGAUGAGAUUCUCAUUUACCCCAUCCUACCAACCAUGAAAUAUCACCUCAAGGAUGAAGAGCCAAUGCAGACUUAUAUACGUACACUCCUAGAAACACCUAAAGUGUAUUGGAAUAUGUAAAACAAAUUAAAAAUGCUACUGAUCUCACAGUUGGAACAGAUUCACUCUCAUUCUCCUGCAGCAAAUGCUCAUAAUGGGAGAAACAAUAUCUUAUUCUUCCUUAAAGUUGCAUAUUUGUAGGUCCAACCUCCAAGAAUUUCAAGCUUAAAUUUUGCCAGGUUGUGCACAGAAGAAUGAGGUUCCCCUGAGGAGUUGCUUAAGCAGGAAUUCCCCAGAAUUACAGUACCUUUUGUAAGAGGGUUUGUUAUGAUACCAUUUGUAUAUCACUAUUCAAAACACCAAGAGACGGGAAGUGAACAUAAAUACCUUACUAUAAAAAAAAAAAACAAAUCUUUGCAAGAAGUUUGCUGUUACCUUGGCUGUAGUAUUCUUAAGCCAUUUCUCAGCUAGACGGAGACAGAAUUUCAAUGCCUGAAUUUGGUCAGGACCUUUUAAAAAAAAAAAAAAAGAGAGAGAAAAAGGGAAAAUAAGUGAAAUUAGUUUUCAUGAAUCUCCUUCACAGUAUACAGAAUAUCUAGUUUAAUCUCUUGUUUGUUUCUUUUAAGCUGUUUAAAAGAUUAGGAGAGCUCUUGUUCCUAGAGAGCAACAAAAUUAUCUAUUCAGAUUCUGAGAAGGGAGAAGCUUGGCUGAAAUAUUUGCUACUGCAGGCGAACUUGUCUGGCAGAACAUGAUAUGUUGAGGAAAGCUAAACAUUAAAUAACUUUAAGUAAGACAGCAUAACUUAAGAGAAAAGAAAGGAAGAUAUUUAAUAAUGAUACUGGGUUAAUACAAUGGGUGUCAUUCUAGCCUUUUCAAAACCUGUUGUAGGAGAAAAAUGUGGUUUUGUUCACCCGCUUCCACAGGAAGUAUCCAAGAAUACUAUUUGGUGUUUGAUUACAGCCUAGCUUUUCUUUUCUUAAAUCUAUUCUCCUCCUAUCAUUACUUCUCCCAUCAAGUCAUCAGAUAUGCACCUUACCUGUGGGAAACUCUUGUGCAAUCUUAUGAGCCAUAGCAACAGCCCACUCUGGAUUAAUUAUAGACAGUAGAUAUGACUGAAUUGUCUGCACAGUUUUAGUUGUUUCCUUGUUAACAACUGAUGUAUACCCAGUGUUUCUCAUUUCAAAUAUUUUUGGUUUCAAUUUUUUUUGAAAGACGUGCUGAGCUGCAGACAUAUGUAGGGUAUCCAGUGAAACCUAGAAUAGCAUUAAAGAAGACUGUUGUCAGAAUGUCCAUAGUGAGACCAAAUUCACACAAAAGACAGAAGAAAAAUUUGUACUUUUUUCUUACACAGGCAAAAAGGGGGAAUUCAGAAACAAAUCCUUUUUAAGGUUCAAUUUUACCUUCAUUAGUUUGGAAAUCAACAGAAGUGUCGGAAAAGAUUCCUCACUGAGCUCUGCAGCUGCAAGGAAAAAGACAGAUGCUUAUGGCAGUGUCACAGUCCUCUUGCAGCUUCCUCUAUGAAAUUAAGCACUUGCAGUGUUGUUAUGUGCAGGCCUUCACUGAGAGUGAACAAAUGCAAACUUAAUUAGGCACGCUGGUCUGGCAUGUAGGAUACAGGGGUUACUUUGGUUUUGAGGUCCUGAGAAAAUCAUUUCAGGACUGAAUUCUGCAUUGUGCAUUGUGCAUAUUAUCUUGGCUCAAGCCAGCUACCUGGGAGCACAACUGUGUUCAGAAACACCUGGGAAGAUAACUGUAUUAGUAAGGAAAUAUGUUCAAUAUAGACUUGAAGUAAAACUUCAAAGUUCACAGUUAGCAGAGAAAGGCGAUCAUGGAUAUAUCAAGCCAGGAAGAAUACUGAACAUACAUAUAAUGUUCCAGAAACACUGUGCAGUUCUGAAGAAUAUCAAAUGGAAGGGUAGUCUGGUUUCAGAAGCUGGAGAUAAAGGAAUGGUGUGCUCUGAAACAUAUUGGUGUUCCAGGUCCACGGGUGGGGAAAUUCUUUUAUAUGACUCCAGAUGUUUGAGAAGGCUCAAAGCCUAUGGAGGACAAAAAAAAAAAGUAAAGAAAAGAAAAAAGCCAUAAGACCACUCUAUUCCCUCUUCUCUCUCUUGAGUAAAAUGCCUAAGAUAGGAGAUGUAUUUCUCUAUAUAAAUAUGUAAUAUAUUUUAUAUAUACACAUGGAGAGUUGCUAUAUGUCUGUAGUUUUUAUCCCUGCUAUGAAUUAUUGUUGAGAAACUGCUAGAGACCAGUAGUUAUUAUUUUAUUUUCUGAAUGACAGCUGCACAGACAGCAUAAUUCCAUUAAUUUCAACACUCUUGAAUGUCUACACUAAUAAAUAGAGAAAAACAAAAGAACAGAGUACUGAAGCCAUUAUCAAAGUAACAGCACUGUAUUUGGACAUACCUGAUUAAGAUGAAUACUGGUAUUCCUUUCAUCAGCGUUCUGUAUCACUUUCAAGACAAUUUCAAUAGUUUCAUAGUCAUAAGGAUCAAGCUGUUCAAAAUAAUGACCCAUUUUAUAAGAUCUUAAAUGAUUUAUCUUACAAAACAUAGAACUGAGAUAGUUUGUAUUAAAAUUGAAAAGAAUUAUAUUGAUAUAACAUUGAAGAAAGAAUACAGGCAUCAUGGCACGCUUCUCCAGAACAAAAAACCUCCACUUCAUAAUACUAAAUCCUAAAAAAAUUGUUAAGGUAUUACACAGAAAGACCAAACAUUGACAUGAAAAGAAAAAAACUAUGCAGAUACACUUUUUUUUUUGCCCUGUCUACUUCUAAUGUAGGGCUUUGAUGUAGUUACAGUGUGGUCUGUUUGUUUAUUUGCAGAAGGAGCUUGGCUUUUUUUUUUUUUGUUUUUGUAGUUUUUUGUUGGUUUGGUUUUUUACCUUGUACAGUAUUCCACUGAGGCUAGUGACCAGGUCAUUUGUGCUCUUCAGUAGAGGAAUUAUUUCUAGCGCUCUAGCCAGUAACGUGUAAUGAGAUUGCUUCUCACUGUAUUCUGCAGAGUCAUCUUCAGCGUGAUUUCUAUUAGCAUUCUUGAGAAGAAGUGUUUCAAUGCAAAGCUGCAGUGCGGCAUCACUGUCCAGCAUGAAAGUUCUAGGAGGACAGAAUGUUAUUUUUCUUUGUGACCUCUGAUGUCAUCAUUAUUUCCUUAUGACCAAAUUCACCAGAGACCAGUAUGCAUUCUGAUUCAUGCUACUUUUUUAAAGAACUAUUUAGAUAUUACAUACAUCCAUACCUGCUUAAGCUAUAAUAGAUUUCUGUAGGCAUGGUUAUUGUUACAGCACCAAUUAAACAGAAUAGAUUUGACUCAAGUAUUACCUGCAGUAAUUCAGUAUGAGAUCUGUGCCUACUUCUGGAUUUUGUACAAGAGUUCUUAUGAGUUCCUUCUUCCUUACUGGUGGUUGUCUAAAUACAGUCUCAAAAGAAAUCUACAGAUAAGGAAAAAAUGUUAUCAUCUUCACAAAGAAGUCUUUUGUACAAUAUCAAGACUAAUUCCUUACAUAGUUAACCUUUUUUUCUUUAGAUUGAAGCCAGAGAUUUUUAGAGCAGGAAAAAACAGUACAUUUGUUGAUUGUGCUCUGUGCCCAAUAAUGUUCAAGCACUUAAAAUUCCUUUAAGCAUACUCAAUUACUACAUUUCUCAUUUUCUGAGCUUUACUUAAAGAAGCAGGUAGGAAUGAUUAAAAUAAAUAAAAAAAAAACCCUCAACUUUCCUUACUUUUGAAUAACAAAUCAUCACCUAAAAGCAACAAGCGCUAUAUAUCAGAAUGUCUUGACUUUUCAUCAGUUAUUAAAAUUCUAAAAUAAUAAUAGAUAAAAAUCAAACUCACACCAAAUUUCCCAAGCUGGAUACCCCAUUCUGCAUCAGUAAUCAGUUCUCGGAAUUUUUUUUCUUCUGCUGCUUCACCAUAUUGGGUAGCAAGCUGUGCUCCAACCAGAGCUACUGACUUAAAGGGAUGCGAAGGGAAAUAGAAGAAAGUACAGUAAAUAAUCUGAAAGCUGGGAAUUGUAAGAUCUAAGUUCUUACAGGAGCUUAAAACAAUUCAGAUGAUUCCACAACUGUGUAAGAUAGAAACAGUCCUUACAGAACAUUAUGUUAGGAUUCCCUCACCUCCUGAGUUGGCAGUUGAAAACUACUUUAAAAUACAGGUUUUAUCUCAAAUAUUUUGCUAGUACUGCACUACUCUAAGUGCAAUGAAUGCACUUAUCUUCCCUUAUGUUUUAAUUUAUUUGUUUCAUUUGUGAAAAUUGCAGUUAGAGAACAAUUUCCCCCAACACACUGGAGGGGUGAGUUAGAGUAGCUUAGGGGGAAAAAAAAACAACAAAACAAAGCUUUUUUUUCAAGCUUUGGAAUAAGUCAUGGUUAGGUAACCUAAUGCCUGGACUUGCAUUGUGCUAACUGUUCACAGCAAUUCUCUGUGCAGUUUUACCAUGUGGCAAACAGAUUGCCACUGAGAGAGCAACUAGUUCUAACAGCCAUACCCAUUUCUAUACGAUAUUGCUGACAUCUUGAGGAAUCUCAAACAUUCUGUAUACACUAAGGAAAUACAUUGUCUUGAGAAUUUACCAGAACUUUCCUGUAAUUUUGCCACGUGUUGUUUAUGACACCCCAGAGCUUAUUAAACAUAUCUUCCCUGGGUAAAAUAGCACAAUACCCCAGUGCCAGGUUCUGAUCUAUGAGACGACAGUUGAACACCUGUGUUUUGGGGGAAAAAAAAAAAAGAAGUUAAACCUUAAGAUUUUGUUUAAAUAGUUCUGUUUCUAUAAAAUAUAACAAGUUUGUGUUAUGCGUUGUUACACAGCUGUUGAAGUGUAACACCUCUAAAUUAAAGGUGCCUUGAGCCUCUAAGUUGAGGUUUAAAAAAAAAAAAAGGAAUAAGUUUUUUUUAAGGAUUUUUCAAUCUAAAAAUAUUGAAGGCCAGUCUAAAAGUUACUGCUCUUUGUCAGAACUUCCUUAGAAGACAAUGCAUUGUGGACAUGGUUUUACAUGUCUGACCACAUGGACCUGAAGACAGGUUUUAUAGAUUGCUUAAAAAAAACAACCUCCCUUCAAUUAAGAAGUCUGAAGACCUAAAAUGAAACUAAGAUUGAAAAUAGCUUUUAUUAUAAAGUAGGGCACUCUAAAGGCUGCCAAAGAGAUCAUGCUCCCCUUGUAUAUAACCUUUCAAGUAGAGCAAUAGGCACACAGUCCAAAAGCCACAGUUCACAAGAGGCUGAAAUACACUAGGGCUAUAACAUGUUCCUGCCAGCAAGGAGGUAUCAGUUCAAAGUCUGUCCUGUAACAGUGCCUCGGCUGUGGAAGGAAGCAAGGAAGCUGGGAAUGAAGUGGCAAUGCUGUCAGGCAAUCCAGCCCACUCCUGCCCCAUUGAAACAUGAAGCUGAGGAACCCAGUCCCCCUCUAACAUUUCAAUACUGUCAGUGCAUCCCCUUAUCUUCUUUAUGGUUUUCCACAGUGCAUGAUUUUUCCCACAAUGAAUGCAUUAUGUGGCAUUUAGCCACGUGACAAUUUCAGAAAGGGAUUCUUGAUAGAGAAGAAAGGGCUUUUUCAGUGAAUUCUUACCUUGUGUAGCAAGGUCAUGAUAGAGGUCGUAAUUAUUGAUGCAGUUGUCUGUUUCAUAGCAAUGAGAAAACUUUUGGUUUCAGCUUGUAUAUUGCCAUCAUGUAGCUAAUAUAAAAAGAUACAAUCAGGACACAUAAAGAUAAAUGACAAGUUGAAGGCUUGGAAUUUACAGAAUACUAGGAGGUAUUGUAUUUUCAUAUUUAAUUAUGGUCUUAAACAGAUCUCUUCUAGUUUAAAAAGAAAAGUCAUUUCCCUACUGUUUUGAAAAGAGGAGCUUUACUUGAACAUUCUACUUGUACGUAGUACAAUCUAACCAAUGAUAAUACAAUGUGAAAGAGUAUAAUAACUGAUUAUUAACAUUCAUUUUACUCUUGGUCUCUCUUCAGACCCUAGAAGUUUAGUUUACUUUGCAAAGAGAAAUGGAAGAUUAUGAGAAAGAGAAGAAACUACCAAAUCCUUUCACAAAAUGAGUGAACAUCUGAUCAGGUGGUAGUAAUUAUAAUGAGGUCAUAAAUGUAGCCUCUCCCUAAACCAUCAAAUACACAACUCAAAGCUUUAAGUCGGAGAACUUCUAAGACUUACUCUGAGCAAAAUUCAGCAUAUAGUCCUUAUCAUACCUUCUCACUCAGGGAUAAAUCCAUGUUGUUUGAGAUACCAUGCUGAAGACAGGAUCCAAACGAACUGACCAUUAGCCGCAGAGCUAACUCGCACUGACUGCACUCCAUGAGGUUUUGUAGUACUGCACAGAUGGGAGUUCUAGCUGGCAGUAGAAGGUUCUGUCCUAUAAUAUAGAUCCGAAACAAACUCAGAAAACAAUUAGAACCUUUGUAAUAAGCAUAUUGUUCUUGAAUGUUAUCUGAAUGAGCAUAUAGCUCUGAAUUACCAGAAUGCUUUUUCCUUUUCUUCACCAAACAUAUGCCACAAAAUGAGCCCUUGCCUCCUUUGAAAUUUUAAACUUUCAGAGUUUUUAGCUUGGUAAAAGCUAAACAUUGUAGUUAAAAAAAAAAAAAAAGAUAAGCUCAUAGUGGUAGAACUUCUGUACUGAGGUAUACGCUUAGACAACAUACCCAAAAUUAUGGGAGUGAAUAGCAGCAAUUACUAUCUAGUUGGGGGGACUUCUGUGCUGAACCAAACUGUCUCCCAGCCAUGUGGCUUUAAGUGGAAUGCCCAGACACCUAUUUGAAAACUAGGUAUUAGUCACCCUUGCAUAGGUCUAAUUUAAACCUGACACUUUUCCAGUUGUCUUGCCUAUACUUUUGAAGUGAUGAAUCUGCCAUCGUGAUACCUCUAAUAAAUGUGCAGUUUGCCAGGCUGGUAGAGUCCAAAGGAUACAGCUUGUUCUCUGAAAGACAGACAAAUACAAAUUCAGUGUGCUGAGAUCUCAGCAACACUAUAAAGCCUCAAAGUGACUUAAAAUUACUGUACUUCAGGGGCAGUUCACAAAAUAGAAAUCCAAUAGAAUAUAAGACAUGAAUUCUAAGAGCCAGGACUCCUGUCCUUAUUUUUUUAUGUGCUGCAUAUUUAUAUUCUGUGUCCACCCCCCAAAUGAAUAUUGCUUCCAGGAGCUUGUCUGAGAUUUUUGAGGCGUUUAUUUCCCCUCAGACACAGGUGUCAAACUGUCCUGGAUAAACAAAUCAAUGUGAAAUAUAGAUAGUAUACUGACUCAAUGUUCAGGAAAGUAAGUUUACCAGAAAUAGGUAGAAGAGAAGAAAUAGUUUCAUAUAUGACUGGAAGAACAAUCUGUGAAUCAAGAACUAUCCCAUCUUCAUUAAAGAAAUCAUUGAAAGUCCACUCUUCAUAAGGAUCUUUAUCUCCACCAAAACAUGUUGUCUAAAUAGAAAGAACAGUUAACAAGUAGGUCUACUAACAAACUAAGUAUAUAAAAGGUUAUACUUUUCAAGUAAAGAAAUAGUAAAUGAUCCUUCCAUUGUAAAUGGCUUUUAUCACACUACUUUUUAUUAAAUGUCCAGCUUUUUUUUAAAGUCAGCUUUAUGGCAGUGUUGGCAGUGGUCAUUCAAUAAAAGCCCUGCUAUUUUCAGUGACAUAAUAAGAUUUAUUACACUAAAAUGAAAGCUGAGAAUUGCUACUUGUGCUUCUUGUGUUUGUGCCACUGCUGCAUUGCUUUCAGUCUACACUUUACACUGAAAUACAUGCAUGUUCAGGGAGAUUUUAAUCUGUAGAGCUAUGGGCUGCUUUGAUUUUGUUUCUCGUUAAACAAAAACUGGUUAAGUAUUGCCAGAGGAAAGGGGAAAUUAUGUAUGUACAGUGAACAGUUAUACAGGACAUUACAUAUAUUCAAAAAUAUAUUUGAAUUGGUAGAAAUUACCUUUGCUGUAAACCCAUAGUUUUCUAUUUGGCACUGUCUGUAAAUUUCCUUGGCAGCUAAAGUAUAUUUACACAGUUCCAGAGAAUCCAGUAGCAAAUCUGUGAAAAUAUUAAGAUCAUUAAUAUAAUACAAAUGGAUGUCAUAUGCCUUGUUAAAAGGUUAACAUUUUUGCAGAAUCCAUUUUUAUAGAGGCAUAUAUAGAAACUCACUUUUGGUUGGUUUUCCACUAGUAACACAAGUAAGUGAUAAGAUUAAUUACCUGGACUACAUAUUGUAGCUGCCUGACAAGCCAUUUCAUAGAUCACUGCAGGAAGGUUCAUGUCUUCAGGAGUGUUCAUUGGAACAUCACCCCCCAACAUAUGACAAAGCCUUUGACAAGCUGAGAACAGUAGCUUCCCUGUUUCUUUAUUACAGUGAUUUUUGUAGAAGUUCCUAUUAAAAAAUGAAUUUAAAAUGCAUAUAUGUAUAUAUAAAUGAUAAUAAGCAAUACAUUAAAUGUUUUCAUUUGAUCUCUCUGUGGGGAGGUAGUAAGAUUCAACUAUGUGACAACCUAACCAUGAGGAAGAGAUAGAAACCAUGGAGUGGUAUGCAUGGUCAAUGUACAAUGGUUUUCUUCUAUCCAUGUAAGCUGAGCAGCUCUCAUAAUAGUCACUUAAUAUUCUGUCUUGCUUAUCUCUCACUAAACAAGCUGCAGGAAAUCUAUUACUUAGCAAUCAUGUUAUAGCAAAAAAAAAAAAAGUCAGUUUUCAGAGACAACAGCUUUACAUUCAUGUUACAUUACAUCAUGUUACUUUCAUGUUAAAUUACAAGUAAUUUAAGCAUAUUUUUUAAACACCCAUUUUUAGAAAAAAUCAAAAAAUCCCUCAUCUUUUCUCUACACAUCUACUUCCUUUUGCAAAACAUCAGAAAUACUACAGAAAAGUGCAGUAAUGUUGUUAAGCUUUUGAAAAUCUCUGCAGUUUUACCUGCAUAUUUUUACAGCAUCUUCAACUCUUCCAGCACCUAAUGCCCUCAAGGCCAAUGUUGUUCCCAGCUCUUGCUCUGAUCUUUGCAGAAGCAAAGCCAUUCUGUACAACCUUGACUCAGUAGAACAAUUCUUUAAUUUACCAUCUUUUGUUUUGCAAUUCAUUGUUUGCUCUUGUCUAGAUUUUGAUGGAUAUUUGUCAGUUUCAUACGCACUUAUGUGCUUCUCAAGAAGUGUAGACAUCAGUGUAGGAUUCCCAAAGUCUUCAACUGAAAGAAAGAUGUUAAAGUCUUCCUGUAACAAAAAAAUAAGAUGGUUAUUUGUAUUCAUGUAGCUUCCUUUAGAAUCAGUUUUCUAGAUUAGCUAUAGAACCAUUUGGAAGUCUAUUGAAAAUAUAGAGACCUUAGGGAUGAAAAAAAAUAUCCAUGCAGAUAAAUUAUGAAUAAAUUUUCAAUAUCGUAAGAACAAGUGCAAUAACUACAGUAAAUGAAAAGUAGUUUCAAACUACAGAGAUACCUACCUGUAGGGUAGCAAGUGUAUUGAAUGUUUUUAGGUUUGCUUCGCAUUCAUCCUUCUUCAGAGGAUUGUCUGUUGAAGGGGGAAAAAAAUUGCUUUCUGAUUCCAUUUACAAACAAAACGUAAGAUGUUAUAACUUAGAACUCACCUUUCUGAAUUUUGUACAGGAAUUUGAGGAUUUCUACGAGUGUUUUUGUCAUAAACAUUUGCGUUUUUUGCUGCAGAGAAGGGAGAGGUUAACAAUUGGUUUGGUCAGAAUAUUGCCAAUAUAAGAUAGCGAACCUUAGGCUACCGCUCUACUGAAUACUAUGCAGUACUCUGCAAGUGUCUUAAUCAAUGGAAAUAUACAGCUAUGAAAUAUUUGCUGUGUGCAUGUGUUUCACUCAGUCUUUUAGUUCUCACAUGAGUUUUCAAAAAAUCCCACUUCUCCUCCCUAUGUUCUUCUUUCUCCUUACCAGAACUACUCCCUAAAACAACUGCUAACAAUAAUUCUUUCUGUGGUUGCAAGAAAGUGAUGUGUACUGUCAGCUGUGAAGCUUUGAAUGACUUUGGUGGCAAAGCCACACCAACAGCUUUUAAAUAGAUACUUUUCCAAGCAAUUAGAGGAAAAAAAAUAGGAAAAUGCAUAGGACUAGAGGCAUAAUAAUAAAGCAGGAUUUAUAAAUAAUUGAAUUCAGUUAGACUUUAAAAUUAAUAUAAUUGUAUUGUGGACAGAAUCAGAAUAAACUCCAGUUGAGACUUCAAGAGGUUCCCUAGUAAAACCUCCUGCUCCAAGAAAGACCAGUUCAGCAUCCUUUCUUGUUGGAAGAUAGGAGAUAAUAACAUAUAAAAUAAUGCACACAAUUGACAGCAUUUAAUGACUUGGUACCUCUUCAGAAUUAUCUGCUUUCCUCUGUAGUACCAGCCUUCCCCAUACAGUCAAUCUCUCUGCAACUUUCUCAGCUUCAGCAGUAGUCAGAGAUUUUAACAAAGUGAGAGAUUCCUCUCCCUGCAGAGGGAGGAGGAAAAAAAAAAAAAAAUCAAAACAGAUCAUUUAUUUAUAGGAAAGCUAUGCACUUCCUUACUUUGAUUAUUCUGCUGACAAACUUCAAACUUCAUAAAAUACCUUUUAAUUGAAACCACUCAGGGUGAAACCAUCAAAGUUUUGAGGCUUUCAGUAAAAUGUAUGUGCUUCCUUGCUAAGGGCUCUAAUAAGCAAAUUAAAACACAGUUUUGUUCAUUAGCAAUUAUGCAGUGUUUUUAGAACAUUCUUCGAUUGCCAAUAAUACCAUGACCUAAUAAGACAGAACAAGUGCUAGCAUGGAAAACUCUUUGCAAGGAAGUUAAACUGAUUCCUUAAUAAAAACAAACCAAACCUUUUUAUGUCUCAGCAACAAAAACAGAUAACCACAGCGUACAAAUGUAUUCACACCUACUAAAUGUACUAAGCGAAGUUAAAAGUUUCAAGUCAGGGUAUCUGAGGAAUUUAAAGGUAACUUUUUCUUCCCUUAGCAACAUCUUAACUUGAAAUUUUUGAGGCAAAAAGCCCCGCAGAAGCUGUUUUGUUUGGACAUAAAUAUUCAACACUGAUUUACAACACUUAGGCACAUACAACACUUGUUAAGUAUAAGCAGUUAUACGUACAAUUAAUAAAACUGUAUUAAAAUACCAGUAUGUAAACUGCGUGUAAGGUUUCAGCAAGCAGUGCAACUGUUGCUGUUUAUUGAAAAUAGUCCACAGUGUCUAAAUAUCCAUACCAACUGACACAAAGUAUUUUAGUACCCUUUCUUUGUCAAUCAGGUCUAUCAUCCUCAGAAUGUAGACUUCUGUGGUGGGUAACAUAUAUGCUUCUACCAUUUUCAAAGCAUCCUCCAAAGAAGUAGGAGUGUCUUGUUUAAGAAUGUAUUUCACUAGCCUCUGAGAAGAAAACAGAUAUGAAAUUGAGUUUAUUCAUUUAUCAGAUAAGGGAAUUCAUUUAUAAACUUUACUUCUGCACUGGAAUUAUACAGCUCAUACCAAGCAAAUUAUCCACAAGUUUAGAAGCUCAAUCUGUAGAUAGAAAUUCAUUAAACAUAACUAGGAUUAAAAUGGGCUUGGGGAAGAAACUGUAGUUGAUAGGAAUGUAUGAAUGAAAAACAAAGUUUAAGUAAGUUAUGAAAUCCAAACAGGACGAAAACAGGGAUAACAAAUAGAAGCUACACAUUGUUAUGCUCCUUUCCAAAAUCUGGCUUUAAAUACUUGCAUGUUCUUUUUUUUUUUUUUUUCAGGUAAAUUUAGAAUUUUUUGUUUGUUUAACAGAAAGUGCUGAUCAUUUACCAUUAUCAUCUCCUUGUCCUUUAAGAGAUUAGUGUCUCUUAUCCCAUAGGCCCGCAAAAGCUUCUUCAUUUCCAUCAGUCGGUAACUUUCCUGCAAUAACUUUACUCUGUGGACAAAUUAGACUACUAUUAAUUUAUUUGUUACAUAUGUAUCUGAUGUACAGAGGUGACCAAAUCAUAUAGGUAAAAUUUUAAAUAAAUUAAAUUCUAACUGAAAAGUAAACGUAAAACUGAGGUAUAGUCUAUAGGAUGUUGUCUUACUUGACAUGAUUCAUUUCCAAAUGCUGUUUUACCAGCUGCUCUACUGCUCCACUCCAUGGUACCACAGCACCAUGCAUUAUCUGCAGAACUGCAUCAAAUUUCAGCUAGAAAAAGAACACGAAAAGCUUACUCAUCAAAAUAAGUUACAAGCUACUCCUUGAAGUAUUGUUCACCUGUGAUUCUUCAGGCAAGCACUUGACUUCUUAGCCCAACCUCCAUUGUGUGACAAGUAUUCAUUAUCAUAAUGUAUCAAACUAGAUUAGAAAAUGAUAGAAGUAAUUUAUGACACCACAGACCUUCAGACGUGCAUAAGUUGGUGAGUUUUCUAUGUGAUGAUAUCAAAAUUACAAUUAGAUUCUCAAGCAAAGAAUAUCAGAAUAAAGGGACAGCAUGAUAUUUUUUUCCUCUUAUCACUUAUAUAAACAUGUUCUCAUGUACUUCCUUAAAAAUUAGGUGCUCCAUUCUGAAUUGAUGUAUUAGAGCUAUUUUAUUAAACAUACUUACAUCUGUAUCAGAGAUACAACCAGUGACAGCUAUUGCCUUUGCCUCCCAUGCAGUUUCAAAUACAGAAGCAGAUCGUGUACGGCAACGUUCUAGCAAAUCCUGCAUGUUUUGAUUAAAAAUUAAUAGGAUAUUCUAAUUGAAAAGGUAGAAUAUAUUAUAUUGUAAAACAUAGUCCUAAAAUAUUACAAACGACAGAAUGUUUCUAGGCAUUAAGGGACAGAUAUUCUCUCAUAUCUGUUUAUUGCCAAAGUAGUUUCAGUAAGUUUGCUGAUGGCAGUAAACAAACCCUGAAAACUGAUUUUAAAAUUCAUGUGUAAAUAAAAUGAUUAUCAGAUUUGUUUACUGCUUACUCAAGUUUCAAUUGGUUUAUUCAAAAUGAAAAAAAAAAAGUGUACCUUUAUAUACUGUAAAAGAAGUUCAUCCUUUUGGAGAUUGUGUUCACAGAGGUAAGGUUUUAUAAACUUAUCCAGAAUAGAUGGGACAAGCUCUGGUGCCAAAAUUUUAUCAAACAUACGAAACACGAUAGUAGUUGUGUUCUCCUGGGCAGCAAAGUAGAACAAUGCAGUUUUAGAACAUCACACAUUUUAGUCCAUGAUCCUUCAUGUUUCAAGUGACUAAUUCAACAUGCAGUGCCCACUGCAGGUAAUUAAGGUGCUAGUUCAUCAUGCCUUUACACCAAGUGAAAGGGAACACCCAGUGUCUCUCUUCUACAAAGUAAUUGUUCAGCUGUACUUACAAUUUCACUCUUGCUAAUGCUUGGUCUGCAACUCAGCCUCUAUUACCUGUACUAUACUGCAAAUCAUGGGGUUUAAGUCAUGCUUUUCAAUAGCAGGUAUCUUGUCACAUUAUGUAUCUAUACCCGUUGCGGAAACAAAAGUUUAUAACAAACACUGUAUCAAAUAGUCUCAGCAGCUUAUGAACAAAAAUGCAACUAAUCAACUCCUCAGAACAGUCCACUGCUCAAAAGUACUUCUUGAAGUAACUGUGGAAUUACCUUUUCAAAAUCACAGAGUGCCAGCCUGCAGUUGUAUUUUCUGUAGAGAUCUGUCAGUUCUUGUAAAUCGUUUACCAGUUUCUUCAACCUAUGUACUUCUUCACAGUUGCUACAUUUCUGAAACGGUAAUGAGAAAUGAAACAUAAGGCUUGCUGCAAUCUUCAAUUUUUGAUGCCUUGUAGAUCCAUAGAAUCUCCAAGAUUGCAUGCUGAACCUUCACACAGCAUACAACAAAGCAAAUUAAGUAUAUGUUAAUUUCCCUAGUUUCCAUUAUGCACUUCAAAUCUGAGAUUCACAAGACUAAGACAGCAGAUCAAAAUACAGAAUGUCAGUGUUUUCAGUUUUAAGAAUGCACACCUGAGUAGCUUUCUUCUUUCUUCGCUAUCAUAGUUUCCCCAUUAUAGUUACUAGUACAACAUAUUGAACUUCUAUUUAUGCAAAUUCAGUAUUCAUAUCCUUACAGCUAGCUGAUUUUUAUUACCCAUUUUCUCUAUGCCAGAGCAUGGAGAAAAAUAUUUCAUGAACUGCAAUCUGUUUCCAAAAAUUUUGACAGAAAUGAGAUGCUUCUAAUUGAAGUUCAUGAGAGAUAUCUUUAUUGAAAUGCUUCAUAGUACAGAAAUUUUUGUGUGUAUUACAGAACACUCAAGAUUAUUAUUUGUAUUUAGACUAUUAAUGCAUGAGUUAAAUGGUAUAAAUGUUGCACUGAUGCUUUUUUUUAUCCAGUCUUUAAACCCAAGAUGAUUGGAAUUAAGUUCCUUUCAGGGGAGUAAUUCAUUUUCCAUCAAAAGCAGUAGUGAACUAAUAACAGCUUGUUCUUCCACUAGCAAAGAGCAUAUGUUCUAAUGUCUGAGAAUAGCAAAUCUUUUUACUUCCUGUGUUUCUUACCAAAGGAGUCCACUGGCCAAAACUUGUCAGAUGCAUUUCAUCUUGAUUUUUACUCGUAAAAAAAAUCUCUGCCAUUUGGAGUCCAUUCUCUGGCCAGUUUGCCUAUUCAGAAGAAAUUGGUAUCAGCAAACAGUACUGUACAUAUAGAAAUACAAGACAAGCAAAGUUUCUACACCAUGACUUACCUUAUCAGUUAAUUCAAGGUUGCGAGCACCUUGUUCCAGCCAUUUGGCUAAUAUUUUCUGUAAUAGAAACAGUUAUCAGAAGAGUUAUGUUGCCUAUCAAAGUGAAAUUUGCUAUUAGAAAUUUGUUUAAAAGGAAAUAAUUUAAUAAAUAAGUUGUAGGGAAAGGAAUUCAUUUAAAAACAGAGUAGAAAAAGGUUCUGAAAUUCAAAAAAGUAGGUCUGACUAUAAAACUACCUUAGUUUCAGAAAGCUAUGUCUUAUAUUUAUUGAAUCAGUUCUACCUGCCCCUUUGGCACAACUCUUCUUAAGAAGGGAAUCACAACAUUUUUCAGCCACAAACACAGUUCCUUCAGGGGAACGGUGACAUGGAUGGCAUUAAGCAAGCUCUCCAGCAUUUUCUCAUCAAAGGUGUCUUCAAAAUCUGCCUAAAAUUUUAGAACAGAACAAUUACAAGCUUAGGGAGUAUAUAUUUAUCAGAUAGUUUGUAAUGUUACUUCACUAAUAGAAAGAAACAAUAGAGUUCACAGAUACAAAGAGAAAAAUCUUAGCAGUUAUAGUUAGAAAUUAAAAAAUAAAAUAGUAAUGAUAAUAACAAAAAAGCCCUGCUCACAAAAAACAAGGCUACUGUUUAAAAGACUUAGCUGAAGCAAUUUCUUUUUUGCAAGUUAUGGUGGGUGGACCACAUCCCUUUACUUCUGGGCUUGCUUUAUAAUUCUGUCUUUAAGAAAACAAUUGACCUAGAAAUUUUCAUUCUUAUAUCAGAGAUUCCAGUUUAUUCUUAAAUCCAUCUUUCCAUCUUUUAAGGAAUGAGAUGGAAAUUGAAAUGUUGCGACAGUAGAUGAGAUUCUGCUUCUGCUUCUUUGAGCUGUUUUGUAACAGAAUUAGCCUGAUUUAUUUCUUUUUUAAAAAAGACUGGAAAAUUUAAGAGGCUUAACAUCCUCUGUAAGUAUGAAAGAUAUGUUUAUGGUGUUUCACCUGAUGCCUAAGCCAGAGGUACUGUGCACAAGAUAAAUUUCCUUCUUCUAGCUGAAAAAGGAUAUUCUUUAAGACAUCUUCAUUAUUCAAGAACUCUGUCCAAGCAAUACCACUAGAAACAAGAGAGGAAAAGAAACACUGUUAUUACACCCAGGCCCUGGAAGUGUUCAAAGCCAGUUCAAAUGGGGUCCUGGGCAACCUGACAUAGUGGGUAGCAACCCUGUCCAGGAUGAGGGGAUAGGAGUCAGAUGAGACUUAAGGAUCCUUCCAACUCAAGCUAUUCUAUGUUUAUUAUAUGGUAAUAUAAAGGGAGGUGCAGAGGAGGUUCUCAAAUCUUUUAUAGUUUGUACUAUAUGCUGUAAGACACAUGCGGAGCAUUAGAUUAUGUGUGCGUAUAUAAAAUCACACCUAUCUACAAUCAGAAAAUUAAAAAAACUGUACAAGAUAUUAUCUGUUGCACACAAUAUAUAUUUUCAGUAUUAAGGCCAACUCAACCUCUCUGUGUUAUCCCUUCUCUACAGUGAAAGACCAGAAGCCCAAAUUUAAUUUAAACGGAUGAUAUUAAACCAUUAUAAAUAAAUUAUCUUUAAAUCUUAAGAAAUAAAAACAAACCUGAACUUCUGUAGUCCAAAAGCUCCAUAGAAAGUUGUAAGCCUUGCCUGAGCUCUCAAUACCUGCUGAAUGCAGACGGGAGAUUUAAGGUCAAAAUCUGGCUUACUAAACAACAUUACGUGUGUAACGUGUAAGUUUUUUUUAAUAAACAGUUACUCAUAAAUUUCAAUUCCAGGAGUAGUUUACAUUAAUUCUCUUUGAAGUAUGAGUGUAUGAGUGCUGUGCAAUAUGAAAUAGGCCUAAUUAAGAAGUAAAAUAAAUACAUGAAAGCACUUAAAGCUGCUUCUUUCAAUUUCUAUAGCACUGAAAAAUGAAUCUUUUAAUUCAAGACUGAAGGAAUCACUUUCCUCUGAAAAUUGUCAAUAUCAUGGUUCUCAUUUAAUAUUUUAAAACGCAAUCGCACUUAAAACAUUUAAACUUCUAUUGUAUAAAACUGUCCAUCAUAAUUGUUUACUAUAUGUUAGUGUAAGGCCAAAAAGUUUGUCCUCACCUCAGUUAGGGAUACUAGAGUCCCAUCAGAGGGUGAAACAAUGGUUCUAUCAUCUUUCUUCAAGAUCUGAAACAAACACAUGAAAUAGCUUGGCAUGUAUGUGAGAGCGGACAUGCAUCUCUGAUUCUAUUUGACAAGGCAAUAAAGACUAAAAUAAUGACAUACUUUUAGAUUUUAGUCCACAAAUUAGUAUGUAAAAGGAACUUACAAAGGCUACUCAAAACUAAACUCCUGUCUCUGGUCUGAAAAUAAAACUGUAACUCCUUUUUAGCCCUUAAGAAAUAGCAAGAACAAAGUUGCAACAAGUCUUGAUUUCUGAUUGUUUUUCAUAAUGCAACUUUUGGAAUGACUAUAACUGGUUUGAAGGUAUCCUCCAUCUCAAGUUGCACAGAAGCAUGUAAUACAAAUUGGCAAAAAAACAACCUUACCCUGACUUUAGCAUAGUUUAACAUUUCUUGAGCAGUUUCAUAUAGUGGCCAUGGAGCAUUAAUGCAGUAAUCCACAACAAACUGGCUAUCCUGUUUAAGGAAGGAAAUAAUUUGAAUUAAUUUCAAGCUCCUUUGUAAUUUGAAUUACUCUAUUAGAGAAAGAGGGCAGGAAGGGGGGGAAAAAAAAAAGACCUGAAUUUUGUGCAGGUUUUCUUUGGCUUCAUUCACAUAAUCCAGCAAGACUUCUUGACCAUAACUUCCAAUGGAGGCUGAAGCUAGCUUCUCUAAAAUAGUGUUUGCUUUUACUUUGUAUACAAGCUGUUUAAAAAACAAACAAAAACUUUAGUUUUAAAUUUGAUGUACUUCAACUUCAAGCAUAUUUAGUUAUGCUAAUUAAUUUUCAAAUGUCUUUAUCAAGAAGGGUCAACUUACCUCAACAUCGAGUCCAAAUUGUAUAGCAAAACUCUCUGCCUCAGUGAAUUUGUGUUUGUGAAGUAAGCGACUUAGUCUAGGGGUGAGAUAAAGUUAUACUACUGUAAUAUAAAACCUCUCAAACCACAAAUUCAACUCUCAACCACAAGUCAAACUACAGAUGACAGUAAUUAAGCUUCAAGGGAAAGCGUACCUAUUUUCUGGCAAGGCUUCAGUUAAACUUCUCAUCACAACAGCAGAAACUGGGCCUUCAGGGGGCCUGAAGGUGAAGGAUAACUACAUGAGUUUAUCAAUUCUAAGAUAACUAUACAUUUAAGUCAUCUGCAUUUUAAGGUAACAGUGACCAAGUAAGAUGCAAAAUAUUAUCUUACAUCUGAUGAUUUUCAUGAAUUCCUUCCAAGAAGUAUAUCGUAUCCUGCAGUAUAUAAUAACAGAAAUCAUUAGGUGGUGGAGUAAAUCAGUCAUAAGAUAACAAAACUGUAAAGCAUUAGGUGUUUCUUAAUAUGGAAGCAAACUUGUUUUUCUCUCAGACAAGUACUUUUUCUUUAACAUAAGCAUAAUUCUUGGAUGGUUUCCACCAUCUAAAAUUUCUGAAGCUAUUAAGAGGACACUUCACGCUGAAACCACUCUACUAUCCUGGUACUUUUACCAUCAGUACAUCCUCCACACAAGUGAAUCAUCCUAAAAUUACUCUUCACUCUUUCAUUUUGUUUAAGCCAUAGGCAUGUCACACUGUAACCACACUACAAACUAUGUGAAGAAGGCAUCUCUGCUAUGUUCCACAAAUAUCAAGGUAUAUAUUACAUUUCCGACCUUGACUGUUCCAUAUUUUCUCUUGCACUUUUCUGCCACGUGCUUCAUACAAGACGAGCAAUUUCAUCAGCCUUUAAUUUUAUUGCAUAUUGUUAUCCUCUCACAUACCCACUCCAUCUGUCUUUCUAAUACUCCUAAUUCACAAAAUUCUUACUGUCUUUUUUCAGACUUCAUUAGUUAAAAUCCUUACAGGGAAACAGUUUAAACAGAAAUGAAGUAGUUCUCUCACCUAAGUUUAAGUAAAUCCCAGAUAAGCUCAGUGUGUUUUUCUUUGCUGAGAGAAUUCUAGACUUCAUAAAGCAUUUAAAUGUGUAACAGCAGCAAGAAAAUUUGGCAUUAGUAUUAAGUGUUGUAAUAGUCUGGGACAUAGAUAGCAUACUGAACAGUUCUGUUAUCUUUUUCUCACCCUUUAGGGACAUGAUUUAACUUUUCUUUGUAUGGUACCUGCAAAAAGAGGUUCUAAUCUAUAAGAAUAACACAUUACCCUCUUUAACAAUUAAAUCCAUUAAAGCAAUUAUAUUUAUUUCUUUGAAGAACAACAACAAAUCUAAACCUACUGUGCCAAUCCCACUUAGGACGAGUGAAGAAACAAUAGAUACUUCCAAAGAAUAGAGCUGUUGCAUAGUAGGUAGUGCAAAAACCAUUAAACUUCUCAUCUAUUAAAAAAAAGAGAGAAACAAAUCAGAUAUAAGUGAUUUAGAUAUGUUGGUGAGAUGGAUGUUUAUAAGAAUCCAGAAAUGAUUCUGCAGAGUUAAAACCUUAAACAAACUACUGAAAUAGAAAAAUCAAACAGCGGGUCAUCAUAGUAAGAAACCAAUGCACAUUUCUGCUUAACAACUGAAGAACAGAAUACAGGUAAGGAAACAGACCUGUUUGUUAGUGGAUGUUGUCAUGACUAUCAGUUUAACGCCUGCAAGCCCUUGCCUGUAGAAUAGAAGAAAGGGAGAAAAAGAAUACUGUAUCAGUCUUUUGCCUUACCUAUCUUACUGUUUAUCUGUCCCAAAUACAGAUGAAGUUCAAACUAAAAUUCAGACUUGUAAGCAACAUUAUACACCUUAUCACAGCUUAUUCUAGAAGAGCAUUUCUAAAAUGAUGUAUGUUACAUUCAAGCUCGCUUAGCAGAAAAAAUAGACAAACCAAGGAAAAAAGCAGUAAGUGCCAAGGUUUUCUUGUCUCCAGCACAGAGUUAACAAUGUCUAGAAGUCCAAUAUUUUGCCCUGCUGACUAGGAAGGUUUUGACAAAGACUUCCAAAAAAUAAUUACUAUAGAAAAUCAAGUAUUUGUCU